AGAACGCUAGCAUUCCGGUCACUUCGAGAACCAGUUUCAGUUUGUCAUAUCCCGAGCCGCAAGGAAACAAAAUGAGUACGGACGAAAGCGCAAGCGGAGCGGGAAACGUCGGGCAACCGGGUGUUCAAGUACGUCCCGAAGAGGAUAACCGCGUAGACGAAGGUAAGUG